CCUCUCUCCUCUCUCCUCUCUCUCCUCUAUCUCUCUCUCUCUCUCUCUCUUAGGUAGAUGUUUUUUAAGAGUCUUAACUAAAGGUAGACACUAGGUGUUUAGGUAGAUGUUUUAAUAGAGUCUUAACUAAAGGUAGACACUAGGAGUUUAGGUAGAUGUUUUAAUAGAGUCUUAACUGAAGGUAGACACUAGGAGUUUAGGUAGAGAACAAUAUGUUUUUAAUAGAGUCUUAACUAAAGGUAGACACUAGGAGUUUAGGUAGAUGUUUUAAUAGAGUCUUAACUGAAGGUAGACACUAGGAGUUUAGGUAGAUGUUUUAAUAGAGUCUUAACUGAAGGUAGACACUAGGAGUUUAGGUAGAGAACAAUAUGUUUUUAAUAGAGUCUUAACUAAAGGUAGACACUAGGAGUUUAGGUAGAUGUUUUAAUAGAGUCUUAACUAAAGGUAGACACUAGGAGUUUAGGUAGAGAACAAUAUGUUUUUAAUAGAGUCUUAACUAAAGGUAGACACUAGGAGUUUAGGUAGAUGUUUUUUAAUAGAGUCUUAACUGAAGGUAGACACUAGGAGUUUAGGUAGAUGUUUUUAAUAGAGUCUUAACUAAAGGUAGACACUAGGAGUUUAGGUAGAGAACAAUAUGUUUUUAAUAGUCUUAACUAAAGGUAGACACUAUGAGUUUAGGUAGAGAACAAUAUGUUUUUAAUAGAGUCUUAACUAAAGGUAGACACUAGGAGUUUAGGUAGAUGUUUUAAUAGAGUCUUAACUGAAGGUAGACACUAGGAGUUUAGGUAGAGAACAAUGUGUUUUUAAUAGUCUUAACUAAAGGUAGACACUAUGAGUUUAGGUAGAGAACAAUAUGUUUUUAAUAGAGUCUUAACUAAAGGUAGACACUAGGAGUUUAGGUAGAUGUUUUAAUAGAGUCUUAACUGAAGGUAGACACUAGGAGUUUAGGUAGAGAACAAUGUGUUUUUAAUAGUCUUAACUAAAGGUAGACACUAUGAGUUUAGGUAGAUGUUUUAAUAGAGUCUUAACUAAAGGUAGACACUAGGAGUUUAGGUAGAUGUUUUAAUAGAGUCUUAAAUAAAGGUAGACACUAGGUGUUUAGGUAGAGAACAAUGUGUUUUUAAUAGAGUCUUAACUAAAGGUAGACACUAGGAGUUUAGGUCAUGUUUUAAUAGAGUCUUAACUAAAGGUAGACACUAGGAGUUUAGGUAGAUGUUUUAAUAGAGUCUUAACUGAAGGUAGACACUAGGAGUUUAGGUAGAGAACAAUAUGUUUUUAAUAGAGUCUUAACUAAAGGUAGACACUAGGAGUUUAGGUAGAUGUUUUAAUAGAGUCUUAACUAAAGGUAGACACUAGGAGUUUAGGUAGAGAACAAUAUGUUUUUAAUAGAGUCUUAACUAAAGGUAGACACUAGGAGUUUAGGUAGAUGUUUUUUAAUAGAGUCUUAACUGAAGGUAGACACUAGGAGUUUAGGUAGAUGUUUUUAAUAGAGUCUUAACUAAAGGUAGACACUAGGAGUUUAGGUAGAGAACAAUAUGUUUUUAAUAGAGUCUUAACUAAAGGUAGACACUAGGAGUUUAGGUAGAUGUUUUAAUAGAGUCUUAAAUAAAGGUAGACACUAGGAGUUUAGGUAGAGAAGCAAUAUGUUUUUUAAUAGAGUCUUAACUCUGUGGUCCCAUAUGGCACCCUAUUCCCUACAUAGUGCCCUACUUUUGACCAGAGCCCU